rnacentral:lncRNA from 1 species
UCCCGCGCUUGUUCUGAAGAAAAAAAAUAUCCCCAUUAAAUAUCCCCCACAGCUCAGCUCGCACACUGACAUCGCAGCUGGGGAGAAUGAAAGCAGGCAGCCUCCCACCCAUCCCAGCAGAGCCUCGCAGGCACGGCCACCCCCUUACCCACUGCUUUACACCCCCCUGGCACCUUUUACACCCUUCACUUGCCACCGAGGCAAAGCUUCCCUUAGAAAAUCAGCCCAGGGCGAGCGCUCGCCUGCUCACCACACCAAAACACACGGUGAGGGGACACACAGCGCUUCCCAAAAACCAGCAACAACUCGAGGAGUUGGUGGCAGGUGCUGCAGAAAGCCCUCUGGAGAGACCAGUUUCCAUUUUGAGGCAGAAUCACCGUUUUUACCAGCUGCCAUCUGCACGGUGCAGCUGUGCGGUGGCGGCCGCCCAGGCGGCGCGCGGGGAAGCCGGGUGGCCUCGUCCGGCUGGGCGAGAGGGAGAACAACGGGCCAGCGGGAGCUCUCACGGGGAUUUUCCAGCCCCGUUAGCCUUCAGGCAAAAGAAAUCCUCCUCCACUCGAGGCUGGAGCCCGCAGCGGGGCAGGGCUGUGCCUCGUGGGCCGCAUGAGCCCCUGGAGGGGACGAGCAAACAGAGAGAUGAGAGCCCCACAGCCCGGUGCUGGUGCAGGGCUGGGGGAGGAUCGGCUGCUUCCAGCCCCCUGGGACCCUCCACAGCUCAUGGCCCCCCCCGUAUCCAGCAGCCGGGGACCCCCAUGGGUUCCCCAUCUCCCUGCUGGAAACAUCUCCCCGGUGCUCCCGCAGCCUUUGCACACAAAAGCUUUUCUGGGCACUAAGCAGCAACCGGAGAGGGAAGCAACUGAGUGCUGUCGGAUUUGGUGUCUCAUAAAUCAUUUUUCAGGCCCUGCUCUUGGAUACGAUGGCCGGGGGUAGGAAAAAAAAAUCUGCUCCUGCCCCCAGCCUCUGCCUGCUUACACUGGUCUCAUGGAAAAGAGCAACCUGGAGGCUCCUCCACCUCCCCUUUGGGUGUGUUUUAUUGACAAGGCGAGGGCCUGGAAGCUCCCGGGGGUAU